UAUGUGUUUCUCAUGCUUUUUCGUUGGCUCUUUUUUCUUCUGUGUGUUUUAUCCUGUUUGUUUUCAUUUUAUCUCAUUUUAUUGUAUUAUUAUUUAGAUGCUUGUUUGUUUUCUAAUGAGAGACAGAAAGGGUGUGGAUUCGGCUGGGAAGGAAAGUGGUGAGAACCUUGGAGGAGUUGGAGGAGAAGCCAUAUUAGAAUAUAUUGUGUGGGGGAAAAAAUCUAUUUUCAAUAGAAAGAAAAAGAUGUGUGAGCACAGUACUGUGAGAUGGUCUCUCGGUAUGCUGUGAAUAUGUGUUGCUACCAUUGGUUAAUAAAGAAGCUGUUUUGGCCUAUGGUAAGACAGGUUAUAGCCAGAUGGGAAAUCUAAGAGAGAUACAGGGAGAAGAAGGUGGAGUCGAAGAUGCUGAGAGCACCAGGGGAACAAGAUUUAAUGGAACACAGGUCACAGCUUAGAUACCUCAUUUUCUUCGGCAUGAUCUCAUGGAGUCAUCUCAGAGCAUUGCAGUUAAUUGCACUUGUCUACACCUGAUUAUGUUGAAAUGUCCGAGAGUCUGUUUGGAACUUCCUAGAAGCUGAGGGCAAUUAGAAGAGCAAGCGCCAUGCCUGAGUCCAUCUUCCCGAUGACUAGAACAUACCUGUGUGGGUAAAGCUGUAACAGCAUCUCAGGGACAGAACUGGUCAAGGUUCCAUGGUUUGUAAAGCUGCCUCACAAGAGGUAGAAGAUUGUGAUGAGCAUAGCAAAAGAAAAAAAAUGCCUUUUAGACAUGUAAAAAACAGCCUAGUCAGGAUCCCCACUACACCCAAGGCUGCACCUGAUAACCAGAGUCCAGUGACAUCACUCCCUCAAGAUGACAGACACACAACUAGAACUCCACAACGCCCACUGGACAGUAUGUAAGCAGAGACCAAGACCGAUGCCCUGCUCUGCACAUCUGGAGAGAUGCCACCUUGAUCUGCCCUGCAUCUUGAGAUUCUGCCCCCCAGAUCUUGACCUUUGAGCUGGAGACAGCUGUGAAAAGGAGCCGACCUUCAGCUGAGGUAUACUGCAAAGGAUCCUGUAGGAUCAUAAGGGAAGAGAGAGCUCAGACCCCUCAGGGAAGAACAUGGGAGUCCUGGGAGAACUUGACUGCUUCCGAGGUAUCUGGCAAUGUGGCUCUCUGAGUUUUUCCUCUCAGAUGGGCUAUGACCACACCAGUGAAAGAAGUGUGCCAAGGUCUUUUCACACCCUCUCUGGAACGAGGCUGCAGUGACUGAAGGGAAAAUGGAGCACCUGUAUAGUUCAUGCUUAAAAAUUCUUUAAAGAAA